rnacentral:lncRNA from 1 species
UGCAAGAUGAAGAAAGAGUUAAGAGGCUUGUGUAUAUGGAUGUUAAGUUUAUGAUUUGUUUUUGCCAAGGAAUAAAAUGAAUGAUCAGUUGAAUAGUAAUGAACUUACUUUCUUGAACGUGGAAAGUGGCGGAGCUGUUGGACCUCAGUAGUGAGUUGGGGGUGGGGGAGAAGCAUAAGUGUAGACUGGUGGAGGAGGUGAUUUUUCGGGUGGGGGAGGUGAGAUGUAGUGGUAUGGAGGAGGUGGAGAUGGUGAAGGGGGAGGAGGGGAUGUGUAGACAUAGGGUGGUGGGGGUGAUUUCUCCGGCGGUGGUGGGGACUUGUAGUAGUAAGGUGGUGGAGGAGAUGGCGAUGGUGGUGGUGGGGACUUGUAGUAGUAAGGAGGGAGUGGUGAUGGAGAUGGUGGUGGGGGAGAUUUGUAGUAGUAGGGAUGAGGGGAUGGAGAUGGUGGUGGGGGAGAUUUGUAGUAGUAGGGAUGAGGGGAUGGAGAUGGUGGUGGGGGAGAUUUGUAGUAGUAGGGAUGAGGGGAUGGAGAUGGUGGUGGUGGGGAGACGUAAUGAUAAGGUGGUGGUGGAGAUUUCUCCGGCGGUGGUGGGGAGAUGUACUGAUAAGGUGGUGGUGGGGAUUUCUCCGGAGGUGGUGGGGAGAUGUAGUGAUAAGGUGGUGGUGGGGAUUUUUCCGGUGGUGGUGGGGAGAUGUACUGAUAAGGUGGUGGUGGAGAUUUUUCCGGUGGUGGUGGGGAGAUGUACUGAUAAGGUGGUGGUGGAGAUUUUUCCGGUGGUGGUGGGGAGACGUAAUAAUACGGCUUUGGUGGAGGUUUCACCGGUGGUGGCGGUGACUUGUAUAGGUAAGUUGGUGGUGGAGGUGGUGGUGAUUUAUAGACAUAAGUUGGUGGUGGUGGGGAGACGUAAUAAUACGGCUUUGGUGGAGGUUUCACUGGUGGUGGCGGUGACUUGUAUAGGUAAGUUGGUGGUGGAGGUGGUGGUGAUUUAUAGACAUAAGUUGGUGGUGGUGGGGAGACGUAAUAAUACGGCUUUGGCGGAGGUUUCACCGGUGGUGGCGGUGACUUGUAUAGGUAAGUUGGUGGUGGAGGUGGUGGUGAUUUAUAGACAUAAGUUGGUGGUGGUGGGGAGACGUAAUAAUACGGCUUUGGUGGAGGUUUCACCGGUGGUGGCGGUGACUUGUAUAGGUAAGUUGGUGGUGGAGGUGGUGGUGAUUUAUAGACAUAAGUUGGUGGCGGAGGAGAUAUGUAGUGGUAAGGAGCAGGAGUUGGCUUGGGCUUCUCACAUUCCUCAUAAGGAGUCUUGGGAGCAUAAGCAAAUGGUUUUGCGUAGAGCACGACUUCAUAGUCAGUCUUGGACUUGACUCUGAGUUCAGCACCCGUUUUGCCCCAGUGGAGAUUGGUUGGAAUGUUGCAUUUGGAAUCCUUUGGCGCCAUGUGCAGCUUAGCCAUGCAUGCCUUAGCUCCAUAUUUGCCAUAAUCAAACCCUUCAAGUGUGACGCUGUACUUUCCAUUAAUCUUAGUUUUUCCAUAUGCCACAAUCUUCUUGUCACCAACCUUGCACGUAACCUCUACUACAGCUCCUGCACAAUGUGUAGACAGAAAAUUCAAAACUACAAUUAUUGGUGGAUAGAAAUAAUUAAAAUCAUAUUCGGGUUUUGGCAAUUAUGCUCUUCUUGUUUUUUUUUUUUUUUUUGGAUUACUAAAAUGAAAAUUAAUAUUAGUUAGUACCAAAUGUUGGACAAACUGAUAAUCAAUUGGAAAAAUUCGGCAUCUCCAGCUGCCACAAGUACUUAGUCCAACAACUAAUUUGUCUUUUUCCAAUUUAAAAACUAUUCCACUUUUCUAACACAUGACUAUUGAUUAUAACUUCACAUAUAAAAAAUGUCAAGCUUAACGAUCUGGACACAAUUUUUAUUCAAUAAAAUGAUACUCUAACGUGGACUACGUGGUCAAGAUGCCAUGAUUUGUACACAAAAGUUGUCUCCCGUAUGACAAAGCAGCCUUUUCAAUUGGGAUCCAGGAAUUUAUGAGACAAACACACAACAAUUAACGGUUGUUUUAUUGACUGCUUAAUCAUGACAUAAAUUACUAAAUAUGUAUAAAUUCAAGAAUAUGUCAUCAAACUUUUUUCUCAUUUACGUUAACGUAUUCUUUUUGCUGUUGCAAAUAACAAAAGAAAAACAAAAAUUGCUUUCAAAGAAUGGACCAACCUUCAUUUUCAGAAUUACUAACGUAACCCAUUUCAUUUUCAAGUUUAAGGAACGUUUUGUACCAAAAUCUAUUACAAUCAUCAUGGAAGUUGACUUAAAAUAUGUUGCAAUUUAAGGAUUGGGAUUUUAAUUUUUUAAUUGGAUUAAAAAGAAAAAAUGACGUCAUCUUGUAAGCAGAAAAAAUUUCAGUAGAUAUGGAAUGGAGAAGGAAGACGUACCUUUGAGAUGUUUCUUGUCAUGGGAUUUCUUUGGGUAGUCCCAGUCGUAGCAUCUGUAGCAGUAAACUUUUCCAACUACCUUAACGAGCAUGGGGUGGUGAGGGUGGGGGUGGUAAGGAACUGGUGGUGGUGGAGAAGUGUAGUAGUAUGGUGGAUGUGGAGGCUUCAUUGGCGGCGGUGGAGAAGUGUAGUAGUAUGGUGGAUGUGGAGGCUUCAUUGGCGGUGGUGGAGAAUUGUAGUAGUAUGGUGGAUGUGGAGGCUUCAUUGGCGGUGGUGGAGAAUUGUAGUAGUACGGUGGAUGUGGAGGCUUCAUUGGUGGCGGUGGAGGAGAAGUGUAGUAGUAUGGUGGAUGUGGAGGCUUCACUGGUGGUGGUGGAGAAUUAUAGUAGUAUGGUGGAUGUGGAGGCUUCAUUGGUGGUGGUGGAGGAGAAGUGUAGUAGUAUGGUGGAUGUGGUGACUUAACUGGUGGUGGAGGAGAAGUGUAGUAGUAUGGUGGAUGUGGAGGCUUCAUUGGUGGUGGUGGAGAAAUAUAGUAGUACGGUGGAUGUCUUCACUGGUGGUGGGUGGGGAAGUGUAGUAGUAAGGUGGAUGGGGUGAUUUCACUGGUGGUGGAGGUGAAUGGUAGUAGUAAGGUGGAAGAGACUUCUCUGGUGGUGGAGGAGAGCUGUAGUUGUAUGGCGGUGGAGGUGAAUUAUAGUAAUAUGGUGGAGGUGGUGAAACAUAAUGGUAGGGAGGUAGAGGGGAUGGUGAUGGUGGUGGGGGAGAUUUGUAUUCGUAUGGUGGAGGUGGUGAGGGUGACGGUGGUGGUGGAGACUUGUACUCAUAUGGGGGAGGUGGAGAAGGUGAAGGUGGGGGAGGAGACUUAUAUUCAUAUGGUGGUGGGGGAGGAGACUUGUAUUCAUACGGUGGAGGUGAAGGUGAGGGUGGUGGUGGAGACUUGUACUCAUAUGGUGGAGGUUUAGGAGAGGGUGGUGGUGGAGACUUGUACUCAUAUGGUGGUGGGGGAGGAGACUUAUAUUCAUAUGGUGGAGGUGAAGGUGAGGGUGGUGGUGGAGACUUGUACUCAUAUGGUGGAGGUUUAGGAGAGGGUGGUGGUGGAGACUUGUACUCAUAUGGUGGUGGGGGAGGAGACUUGUAUUCAUAUGGUGGAGGUGAAGGAGAGGGUGGCGGUGGAGACUUGUACUCAUAUGGUGGUGGUGGAGGAGACUUGUAUUCAUAUGGAGGUGAAGGAGAGGGUGGCGGUGGAGACUUGUACUCAUAUGGUGGUGGUGGAGGAGACUUGUAUUCAUAUGGUGGAGGUGAAGGAGAGGGUGGCGGUGGAGACUUGUACUCAUAUGGUGGUGGGGAGGAGACUUGUAUUCAUAUGGUGCAGGUGAAGGAGAGGGUGGCGGUGGAGACUUGUACUCAUAUGGUGGUGGUGGAGGAGACUUGUAUUCAUAUGGUGCAGGUGAAGGAGAGGGUGGUGGUGGAGACUUGUACUCAUAUGGUGGUGGUGGAGGAGACUUGUAUUCAUAUGGUGGAGGUGAAGGAGAGGGUGGUGGUGGAGACUUGUACUCAUAUGGUGGAGGUGGAGAGGGUGAAGGUGGGGGAGGAGACUUAUACUCAUAUGGUGGUGGUGGAGGAGAUUUGUAUUCAUAUGGUGCAGGUGAAGGAGAGGGUGGUGGUGGAGACUUGUACUCAUAUGGUGGUGGUGGAGGAGACUUGUAUUCAUAUGGUGCAGGUGAAGGAGAGGGUGGUGGAGGAGACUUGUACUCAUAUGGUGGAGGUGAAGGAGAGGGUGGUGGAGGAGACUUGUAUUCAUAUGGUGGUGGGGGAGGAGACUUGUAUUCAUAUGGUGGAGGUGAAGGUGAGGGUGGUGGUGGAGACUUGUACUCAUAUGGUGGAGGAGAAGGAGAGGGUGGUGGUGGAGACUUGUACUCAUAUGGUGGUGGGGGAGGAGACUUGUAUUCAUAUGGUGGAGGUGAAGGAGAGGGCGGUGGUGGAGACUUAUACUCAUAUGGUGUGGGGGAGAGGAGACUUGUAUUCAUAUGGUGGAGGUGAAGGAGAGGGUGGGGGAGGAGACUUAUAUUCAUAUGGUGGUGGGGGAGGAGACUUGUAUUCAUAUGGUGGAGGUGAAGGAGAGGGUGGUGGUGGAGACUUGUACUCAUAUGUUGGUGGAGGUGGUGAAGGGGAGGGUGGUGGCGGAGACUUGUACUCAUAUGGUGGUGGUGGAGAAGGUGAUGGUGGUGGAGGAGACUUGUACUCAUAAGGUGGUGGUGGAGAAGGUGAAGGUGGAGGAGGUGACUUGUACUCAUAAGGAGGAGGUGGGGGUGAAGAAUAAGGGUCUGCUGAGACCACCACUGAAACAGCCAAAAUGGCCAAUGCCACUAGCAACAGACGACCCCUGGCGGGGUCGCCCCAUCGAAGCCACAUUCCUCGCCGGAAAACUCUUCCUGUGCAGCCAAUGUUGAAGCCCAGCACCUCCUCUGAUGAUGAAGAUGAAAGAACCUGGAGCUGGAGCUGGAGCUGGAGGAGUAGUUAGAAUAGUCAGAAGAGCACAAAUUUUAGUGCUUUAGUUGAGAGGAUACACCUUUUGCAUCCAAUGUGUCAAUUAUUUAUACAGCAAAAGAGAAAGAACUAGUCGUUAAAAGAAAGCUGUCAAUUAGGGACCAAUACAAUUUCUUUGUUAGAUUUUUUGUAGUAAAUUUUUACAAUCAAC